rnacentral:rRNA from 1 species
UACGAAGGGGGCUAGCGUUGCUCGGAAUCACUGGGCGUAAAGCGCACGUAGGCGGAUUGUUAAGUCAGGGGUGAAAUCCUGGAGCUCAACCCCAGAACUGCCUUUGAUACUGGCGAUCUUGAGUCCGGGAGAGGUGAGUGGAACUGCGAGUGUAGAGGUGAAAUUCGUAGAUAUUCGCAAGAACACCAGUGGCGAAGGCGGCUCACUGGCCCGGUACUGACGCUGAGGUGCGAAAGCGUGGGGAGCAAACAGG